AGCUAACGAGGUUUAAUGUGCCCGUGGUGCCCCGCCGGCCCGCCGGGCUGUCGCUGUGAGCGACACCGCCCGGGUGUGGGCGGUGCCCCGGGAGGAGCGGGGGACACCCGUGUCGCACCAUCAAAAAGUCCUGCUGAUAGUACUCCAAGAAGGCCUGUUUUAUCUGUCAGUGCAAGAAAAAUUAAAGAUAAUGCAGCAGACUGGCAUAAUUUAAUGAUGAAAUGGGAGAGACUGAAUGAUAAUGGAUUUACUACGGCAAACAAAAUAGUCAACAUGAAGAUCAGUGAGCAAUUUCAAGACAGAAAACUGGAGAUAGCAUGUGAUAACAGUGUCACAGAACCUGAAAAGCCAACCCCAAGAUACAAUGAAGAACUGGACAAUUGCUGUGCAGAAUUACUGGAGAUCUUAAAGCAGAUGACAAAAAUACAACUGAAAAUGGAAAAGCUUACUUUGACUACUAAAGCAAUCUGUGACUUGGAAGCAUUCCACCGUGGAGCUGGGAAUUGCACAGCACCCUUCUUUCAUACAUGGCCCACACCAUAUUUCUAUGAGGUCUCUUUGAAGCUCUCCGAAAUGUACAAGAAGGAACUACAACUCAAGCAGGCAAUUGUACAAGACAUUGCUCAUUCUGCUGACCAGGACCUGCUGAUGGUGUAUUUAUCAUCGUGGUUAUACCAGCCUUACAUUGAGAACAGCAGCACACUGCUACUUGAAGCCAUGCUGCUGGAGACAGGACACAGAAAGUGCUAGAAUUCCACGUGGCUGGCUUCUAAUGAUGCUUACAUGAAACUGAAAUGGCAAAUUGCAAGGCUUACCACGCAUAGUGUACUUGAACUGGCUGCAACCACGGUAGUGUUUGGAGACCUUGAAGCCGACACUGCGGCACGAGUAGCUUUCUGUCC